rnacentral:rRNA from 1 species
GACAGAGGGUGCAAGCGUUGCUCGGAAUUACUGGGCGUAAAGGGCUCGUAGGCGGUUUGGCAAGUCGGUCGUGAAAUCCCUCGGCUCAACUGAGGAUCGUCGAUCGAUACUGCCGUUCUUGAGGAUUGCAGAGGAGACUGGAAUUCCUGGUGUAGCGGUGAAAUGCGCAGAUAUCAGGAGGAACACCGGUGGCGAAGGCGGUUCUCUGGGCCUUACCUGACGCUGAGGAGCGAAAGCGUGGGGAGCAAACAGG